UAUUCGUCAAUGGGGGAAACCCUGAACGAGCAAUGCCGCGUGAGUGAUGACGGUCUUUAUGAUUGUACAACUUUGUUGUUAGGGAAGAAACCUUAUCAUAGGAAAUGAUGAUAAGCUGACGGUACCUUUCCAGAAAGCCCCGGCUAACUACGUGCCAGCAGCCGCGGUAAUACGUAGGUGGCGAGCGUUAUCCGGAACCAUUGGGCGUAAAGAGGGAGCAGGCGGCCUGGAGGGUCUAUUGUUAAAAGGCAGUGGCUUAACCAUUGCAAGGCGAAGAAACCGGCAGGCUAGAGUUCUAAAGAGGAUCGUGGAAUUCCAUGUGUAGCGGUGAAAUGCGUAGAUAUAUGGAGGAACACCAGUGGCGAAGGCGACGAUCUGGGAAGAAACAGACGCUGAGUCCCGAAAGCGUGGGGAGCAAAUAGG
rnacentral:rRNA from 1 species